ACAAAAAAGAGAAAAUAUGAACCAAGUGAUUUGUCUUUAGGGAAUGACUGGAUUUCUGAGGUGAAGAACAAAUAAUACAAUCAAUAGAAGACACAACAAAGUACAUACAAGGAAUAUUUUUGGACAUACCUGUCUAUUCAACCACAUAUUCAAAAAUACCACAACUGGACGAAGCAAUGAUCAUAGAGUAAGGUGAAUGUCAUCCUUCAUCGUGACAGAACUAUGACUGCUGUAAAAGAAAGCAAAUGAUGACU